AAUCAACGCUGGCGGCGUGCCUCAGACAUGCAAGUCGAACGCGAAAGUUCCCUUCGGGAGCAAGUAGAGUGGCGCACGGGUGAGUAACACGUAGGUAAUCUACCUUUGGAUGGGGAAUAACAACCGGAAACGGUUGCUAAUACCGCAUAAUGCAGCGGCACCUAAUGGUGACAGUUGUUAAAGCGGGGGAUCGAAAGACCUCGCGUCUGAAGAGGAGCCUGCGGCGGAUUAGCUAGUUGGUAAGGUAACGGCUUACCAAGGCGAUGAUCCGUAGCCGGCCUGAGAGGGCGGUCGGCCACACUGACACUGACAUACGGGUCAGACUCCUACGGGAGGCAGCAGUCGGGAAUUUUGGGCAAUGGGCGAAAGCCUGACCCAGCAACGCCGCGUGAAGGAUGAAAUCCCUCGGGAUGUAAACUUCGCAAGAACGGGAAGAAUAAGUAAGGUUAAUA
rnacentral:rRNA from 1 species